rnacentral:lncRNA from 1 species
UAUGUUUCGGAGCAUAGUGCAUGGAGGUUACUUGGUAGAGUAUCACUGGUUUAGCCCUGAGGGCUAUUUCAGAUUGAGAUGUCUGAUGUUUUAAAGGUUAAGUCUGGUAAUUUUUAAAGCAAAGUUAGGAGUCGAGUUGGAUCAUGUAUGGGAUUUUAUCAGGUACACAGAGUUCAUAGCAGGCUUACUACGGGUCCCGGCGGCCUUAAGCCGAUCUGGAUCCUAGUGCCGAGCACUUUGGGCCG